UCGAAUUUUAUAAACUCGAGUCUUGAAAGGGGUAAACCUUUUCGGGGCUCGUUUUCAUAAAACCAACCCCAUUUGUGAACCAUCGCAUGAGUUAGUAGGGGAAGGAGAGUGCGCUUUGUUGUGUGCCCUCUUCCUUUGAAAGCUUGCGACAAUCCUACAUACCCCAGUAUUAAGUCUCAGAAUGUUACUUUGCGUAGAACGCAAUAAAAAAAAAAUA
rnacentral:misc_RNA from 1 species